rnacentral:rRNA from 1 species
CCUACGGGAGGCAGCAGUGGGGAAUAUUGGACAAUGGGGGGAACCCUGAUCCAGCGACGCCGCGUGAGUGAAGAAGUAUUUCGGUUUGUAAAGCUCUAUCAGCAGGGAAGAAAAUGACGGUACCUGACUAAGAAGCCGCGGCUAACUACGUGCCAGCAGCCGCGGUAAUACGUAGGGGGCAAGCGUUAUCCGGAUUUACUGGGUGGAAAGGGAGCGUAGACGGUGCAGCAAGUCUGAUGUGAAAGGUCGGGGCCCAACCCCGGGACUGCAUUGGAAACUGUUGAACUGGAGUACAGGAGAGGUAAGCGGAAUUCCUAGUGUAGCGGUGGAAUGCGUAGAUAUUAGGAGGAACACCAGUGGCGAAGGCGGCUUACUGGACUGUAACUGACGUUGAGGCUCGAAAGCGUGGGGAGCAAACAGGAUUAGAUACCCUUGUAGUC